ensembl:lncRNA
AUGACGCCAAAUGUGCCUCUCGGCGUCGAAUAUCAAAGCACUACGACCUUCAUUGCUUUCAGUGGGAAACUUUUGGCGUCAGAAUUCGACACGAGGACAUUAGAUAUUUAUCGCUAUGAAAUCACGUUCAAGAAGUCUCAUUCAGCACAUCUCAUCAGUUCCACAGUUUGGCUGAGAAGACGUAAAGGAAGCCCAGAGGUGUUUCUGGAGAGGGAUUCCUUCAGAAAUGGAGAAGACAGAAAGCUGCGGAGGCAGAUAUUUGCAGCAGUUUGUUUGCAGAUAAGACUGUAGUUUUCCAUCAUGCAAAAGGACUCACCUCGUUAACUCUUUAUCCCCCGCACACACAGAAAUGGUUCCUGGAUCAGCGAUUAGACAUUGCAGUGGUUUGAUUUUUGCAGAAGAUGUAACUUUGUUUUAAUUAUAAGCUCAUAAUGAAUACAUUACAGAACCAGUGAUGAAAACAAUAGUUAAAAGUAGUAUUUUUCGUAUUGAUAAAGCAUUUUGUUCUGUUCUUCAAGCUUCAUACAGUAAACUUUUUAGACUUUAAUUAAGAGUUUUAGUAAAGGAGAUAUUCAUACACAGUCAUCCCCUAGCUCCAGUCAUGAAGUGAAUUCAUAAUGUUAUUGUCAAAGCUACUAGGUGUUUGUUUUCCUGAACACUUUCUCUGUCUUUCAUUGUUCAGACAAUCAGUGUUUAUUUGAUGCUGUGCUGAUAACAGUUUUAUAGAUGAUAUUGCACACUUGACAUGCAAGUCUUCAUGGUGUUUUUUUGUGAGUUUGAAACAUUUACAUUGUGUUGUAUAACAUUUUGGUCAAUUUAAUUUUUAAGAAAAUUGAUCUUUUUCCAGUGAUCUCUGAAAGAUAUACUGUAUUUACUGUUUUGUUUUUUAAUAAAAGCAUUUUCAUUUGCAUACUGAAAAUAGUUAAUGUUUACAACAUUACUGCCUUUUUAUUCUUUAUGGUGGCAAAAACGAGCUUGGUGACAGAGGAUGCAGUGUAGUAAUUUGGGCAUGUUGUCUUUAAAUGAGUUUGACAUAUCAAUAAAUAAUGGAAGAUCCUUACAAAAAUAUGCAUGUUUAUUAUGCUUUAUGUAUUUAUUUGUUCGUUCAUUCAUUCAUUCAUUCAUUCAUUCAUUCAUUCAUUCAUUCAUUCAUUUAUAAUUUCUGUUUUUAUUCCUAGAGUUCAAAUGGUAGAGAAUGGUAAAUCACAGAAACACAAAUGUGAACAAUUUUAACUUUAAAACACAAUGUAAUAUACAAUGUAAAUUUUAGAAGCACAUCAUUUGAUUAGUAAAUAUAUUUGUCAAUCUAUCCGUUGGAUACAACUGCGACUGCUGGGCAUGUGCACAUCAAUAUUGCCCAAUUUUUGUCAAGCUGAACAACGGAGGAAGGUGAAGACGUUAAUAAAACAGAAUCUAAUAAGUAGCAAGCUUAAUCUAUUGUUAACCGAAUCUAUCCCUUCAGCCGAAAAAACGAAAGACAUCGGUCAUAAAUGUAUAAGGAAGUGUGACACUGCUGCUCAGCUUUGAUGUCAUUGGCUAUGAAUUUUCAGGAGUCUGUGGUUGGACUAUCUUUUAACCCAUAUUAAACAGCGCAUCAUGUUAAAAAGUAUGUUUUGCUCCUAUCAUCACAUUAGUAAUAUAUUAAGUCAACAAUGAAGUGUUGCUAUCUUG